AUUGAACGCUGGCGGCAGGCCUAACACAUGCAAGUCGAGCGAGCGGCGGACGGGUGAGUAAUGUCUGGGAAACUGCCCGAUGGAGGGGGAUAACUACUGGAAACGGUAGCUAAUACCGCAUACCAUCAGAUGUGCCCAGAUGGGCUUAGCUGGUAGGUGGGGUAACGGCUCACCUAGGCGACGAUCCCUAGCUGGUUUGAGCGGAUGACCAGCCACACGUGAACUGAGAUACGGUCCAGACUCCUACGGGAGGCAGCAGUGGGGAAUAUUGCACAGUGGGCGCAAGCCGGAUGCAGCCAUGCCGCGUGUGUGGAGAAGGCCUUCGGGUUGUAAAGUACUUUCAGCGGGGAGGCGUUACCCGCAGAAGAAGCACCGGCUAACUCCGUGACAGCAGCCGCGGUAAUAC
rnacentral:rRNA from 1 species